CCCACAAAGUGUGGUCACAUUUGGUGGAUUAAAUUGUGAUCUUAGUUGUUUUGAGGUUUUGGGGAGCAAUGUCACGCAGUAACACGGGUGCGCCGCUAGAUGGCAGAAGCGGGCUCUUGCGGGACUGACGGUGCAUCAUUGCGGUGUCGAGGAAGCUCCCUUCCAUUCGGAUGAGAGCUACCAGCACAGCAACACCGUCUCCUGUGGCUCAUUUGUUCUUUUCCUGUUAAAACAGGUUGGUCCGGGUCUAAACUGAAAACUGUUACGUAAUAAACAUGGUCGUUCUACUAAAUGUCGCGACGUUGGUCCCCUGUGUAUUUGGUUUGUGUUAUUUUAUGUCGUCAUUAUGCGGUUUGCUAAUAAGCUCUCGGUUAGCUGCUCGGAGGAUUUCCUCAGAUGGUACGCGAAGAAUGCGUAUGUUUUAUAUAACCGCCUGUAAGGUGCAUUUAUUUACAAUUCCUGAUAUAGUAAUAAGCUGGUGUUGUGUUAUAGAGGAACUAGUGGAAGUGUGAAUGUAUAGUCACAAUUUUCAGGGUUGUAUGAUGGCUUUAUUGUUAUAAUCUGGAUUAAAUUCGGAUGAGAGCUACCAGCACAGCAACACCGUCUCCUGUGGCUCAUUUGUUCUUUUCCUGUUAAAACAGGUUGGUCCGGGUCUAAACUGAAAACUGUUACGUAAUAAACAUGGUCGUUCUACUAAAUGUCGCGACGUUGGUCCCCUGUGUAUUUGGUUUGUGUUAUUUUAUGUCGUCAUUAUGCGGUUUGCUAAUAAGCUCUCGGUUAGCUGCUCGGAGGAUUUCCUCAGAUGGUACGCGAAGAAUGCGUAUGUUUUAUAUAACCGCCUGUAAGGUGCAUUUAUUUACAAUUCCUGAUAUAGUAAUAAGCUGGUGUUGUGUUAUAGAGGAACUAGUGGAAGUGUGAAUGUAUAGUCACAAUUUUCAGGGUUGUAUGAUGGCUUUAUUGUUAUAAUCUGGAUUAAAUUCGGAUGAGAGCUACCAGCACAGCAA